rnacentral:rRNA from 1 species
UACGUAGGGCGCAAGCGUUGUCCGGAAUUAUUGGGCGUAAAGAGCUCGUAGGCGGUCUGUCGCGUCUGUUGUGAAAACUCGAGGCUCAACCUCGGGCUUGCAGUGGAUACGGGCAGACUAGAGUGCGGUAGGGGAGACUGGAAUUCCUGGUGUAGCGGUGGAAUGCGCAGAUAUCGGGAGGAACACCCGUAGCGAAGGCGGUACGUCUGGCCGAAACUGACGCUGAGGAGCGAAAGCGUGGGGAGCGAACAGG